rnacentral:rRNA from 1 species
ACGGCGAGUGAGCGGGAUGAGCUCAAAUUUGAAAUCUGGCUGGUUUACUAGUCCGAGUUGUAAUUUAAAGAAGCGUUUUCGGUGGCAGCCUGGGUAUAAAUCCUUUGGAAUAGGGUAUCAUAGAGGGUGAGAAUCCCGUCUUUGACCUAGUGCAUGCUACUAUGUGAUACGUUUUCAAAGAGUCGAGUUGUUUGGGAAUGCAGCUCAAAAUGGGUGGUAAAUUUCAUCUAAAGCUAAAUAUUGGCGAGAGACCGAUAGCGAACAAGUACCGUGAGGGAAAGAUGAAAAGAACUUUGAAAAGAGAGUUAAACAGUGCGUGAAAUUGUUGAAAGGGAAACGUUUGACACCAGUCAUGUGGGUGGAAAAUCAGUCUUUUGCAUUGGGGAGUUGUAAAGGUUCGGACCGCAAGGCCGGCUUUUGCUUCAUCUUUGGUGUAAGGGAUGCACUUUUUCAUCUACAGGUCAACAUCAGUUUCUUUUGCUGGACAAAACUCCGAGAGAAGGUAGCAGCUUAGGCUGUGUUAUAGCUCUGGAGCGAUACAGUGAAGGGGACUGAGGUUUUCGCAGCGUGUGCUCUCGGGCAAGGCUGGAUGGGUGCUAUGGGAUCGUUCGGGGUACAAUGCCUGGCAUUUUGCUUCGUGUCUUUUCUAUACUCGCUCAACUCAGCUCUUCCACGCUUAGGAUGUUGACUUAAUGGUUUUAAACGACCCG